rnacentral:rRNA from 1 species
UCCCAUUGGCCAUGCUACGAGACACUCGCCGUGAUUGAAAAGUUCUUCGGAUUCGUAAACCUGUUAUUUACGGCAGACCCAUGUGUAGGUACCUAUGCCAGUCUUGACCGUUACCUAUUCAGAAAAGCCACGCUUACUACGGCCAGCAGGCGCGGUAUUACGUAGGUGGCAGCGUUAUUCCGAAUUAUGGCGUAAGCGGCGCGGUAGGCGGUUUUUAAGUCUGAUGUGAAGCCCACCGCCUCACCGUGGAGGGUCAUUGAAACUGGAAAACUUGAGUGCAGAAGAGGAAGUUGAAUUCCAUGUGUAGCGGUGAAAUGCGCAGAGAUAUGGAGGAACACCAGUGGCGAAGGCGACUUUCUGGUCUGUAACUGACGCUGAUGUGCGAAAGCGUGGGGAUCAAACAGGAUUAGAUACCCUGGUAGUCCACGCCGUAAACGAUGAGUGCUAAGUGUUAGGGGGUUUCCGCCCCUUAGUGCUGCAGCUAACGCAUUAAGCACUCCGCCUGGGGAGUACGACCGCAAGGUUGAAACUCAAAGGAAUUGACGGGGACCCGCACAAGCGGUGGAGCAUGUGGUCUAAUUCGAAGCAACGCGAAGAACCUUACCAAAUCUUGACAUCCUCUGACCCCUCUAGAGAUAGAGUUUUCCCCUUCGGGGGACAGAGUGACAGGUGGUGCAUGGUUGUCGUCAGCUCGUGUCGUGAGAUGUUGGGUUAAGUCCCGCAACGAGCGCAACCCUUAAGCUUAGUUGCCAUCAUUAAGUUGGGCACUCUAAGUUGACUGCCGGUGACAAACCGGAGGAAGGUGGGGAUGACGUCAAAUCAUCAUGCCCCUUAUGAUUUGGGCUACACACGUGCUACAAUGGGCAAUACAAAGGGUAGCGAAACCGCGAGGUCAAGCAAAUCCCAUAAAGUUGUUCUCAGUUCGGAUUGUAGUCUGCAACUCGACUACAUGAAGCUGGAAUCGCUAGUAAUCGUAGAUCAGCAUGCUACGGUGAAUACGUUCCCGGGUCUUGUACACACCGCCCGUCACACCACGAGAGUUUGUAACACCCGAAGCCGGUGGAGU